CAGUAGCCGCGGGAAUACGGAGGGGGCUAGCGUUGUUCGGAAUUACUGGGCGUAAAGCGCACGUAGGCGGCUUGGUAAGUUAGAGGUGAAAGCCCAGGGCUCAACCCUGGAAUUGCCUUUAAGACUGCCGAGCUAGUAGGUGAGAGAGGUGAGUGGAAUUCCGAGUGUAGAGGUGAAAUUCGUAGAUUUUCGGAAGAACACCAGUGGCGAAGGCGGCUUACUGGCUCAUUCUAGACGCUGAGGUGCGAAAGCGUGGGGAGCAAACAGGAUUAGAUACCCCCGUAGUCCCUGUCUCUUAUAC
rnacentral:rRNA from 1 species